GGACGAGCUGCGCAGGCGGCGGGCGGCGCCAUCGACCCCGCCGUGUUCAGUGAGCGGGCGCGGGCGGGGCUGCACGCUCGGCGACCCCCGACACCUCUGCUCUCCACUUCCCGCCCUUGUCGGAGCCCCUGAGGCCCAGGGCAGAGUCGGGGCUUCAGGGUGGCGGCCACGCUCGCCCGCUGUCGCCGAGCCGCCUGGCCCGGGCAAGGAGGGCUCCCUGCGCAGGGCGUCUGUCUCUGCAGGAGCCCGGUGGCCCUGCUGACGCUGCACGUGGCGCCCCUCGCCGUCCUCCAGAUGCUCCGUCCGUGUGCCGAGCAGAGGCUGCCGAGCGAGCCUCAGGCCCCUCCGGCUGUGUCUGCCCCCAUCGAGCGUGCCUGAGAGGGAAGCGCUCAGGGAGCUGGGCAGGCAGAGGCCUUCCUGCCACCCCCUCACGUGUACCCCACUCGCCCCAAGUCCUGCUCUGGAGUCUGGCCAGAUGAGCUUCCCGCGGGCCGCGGGACGGGCGUCAGCGUGGCAGCCAUCAGCUUAGAGACUGAGGACAGGGUUUCAGGGCUCGCUUUAUUAGAGACAACUCACAGUUCUCCUGUAAUGGGACCAACCCCCACCCCCUGCCCCGCUCCGCCCCUCUGAGGCUAACUCAGCUUGGUGAGACUUGGCUCUGUAGAGGUGUCCUCACCCCAGUGGAAGACAGCCGACCAGGGGGCAGGGAAGGGGCAGUGUGGUGCGCUGUGCAGAGCAAAGCCCUGGGUGUGACAAACACCUCAACCUCUGAGAUGAUAUCAGCCACCUGGGUGGGCAGCCUUGAGGACAAACUAUGACUCUUCUUUUCUGCCUGGUUCCUGAGCUGAGAGUACCUUCCAGGCAUUUCCACGCCCCUCCCCACAUCACCACCUGGAAGUUCUGAGGGACGGGCGCAAAGAGGGAAUGUCACACCUCACGUGUGAUUCUUAUACUGAUUCCAUGUUGAAGUGAUAAUAUGUUGGAUAUUUGGGGUUAAUUAAAAC
rnacentral:lncRNA from 1 species